rnacentral:lncRNA from 1 species
UGACAAAGCAGUUCUGUUUUCACAGAAGGAGCGUGUGCUGCUGUAGGCAUCCUACGGAUGGGGCAGGGCAGGGCACGGCGCUCAGCUGAGACAUCUGCCCUCUUCUGUGUUGGUUUGGGCAGGAAACUUCCACCCAGGCAUUCUAUCAGGGCAGGAUAACAACAUUUGGGCUUUCUGAUGAUGGCUCACAGGGCCACGGGAUCAGGGGGCGCGCUGCAUGCUCAGCCCAUCCAUCACUCAUCAGUGUCACAGCAGAGGAUAAAUAUUUACAAAUGGAUUGUCAGUUCUGCUGUGACAAAUUAUCCCCAGCCAUCGCCGAGACGGUUCGAGAUGUGUUGAGCCAGACCUAAACGUUUGGUUAAGAAAUGUCUGAGAGGGAAAUCAGCGUGAAAGAAAGGAAAGCUGCCUGUGCCUGAAGGCCUCGCACUGAAGGACAAAACAUAGCAUCAUAGCAUUGUUAGUGCUGGAAAAGCCCUCUCGGAUCAUCUAAUCCAACCACAGACCAACAUGGAGCAGCUGCCUUCGCACUGCAUUCUUGCCCCUGGUUUGGGACGUCCAUACUUAGCAACGGGAGGAACUCCUUAUCGCCACGGCGGGUGGAGGAGGACGGCACAGCCACGCUCGGGAUGCAAGCUGCACGUUGGAGGAAGAAUAGAUUUUCUUUCUCCUUCGUUAUCCUUUGGCCACAAACGUGUACUUAAAAGUCCUGCAAACUCUAUUUCUGGGAGUGGAACAACUUGAAAGAGAAAUCAAUAAACAACCUCCGCUGAAUAAAGAUUUCAGCAGUCGGAAUGCUUAAAUUCCCAGCGCCAUUGAUACGCAGAUACCUGAAACCCAUCAGCACUGGGAACGCUUUGCUUCAUUCUACCGCAGCUCAAUACUGCGAG